rnacentral:rRNA from 1 species
UCCCAGACUCCUACGGGAGGCAGCAGUCGGGAAUAUUGCGCAAUGGCGGAAACUCUGACGCAGUGACGCCGCGUAUAGGAAGAAGGUUUUCGGAUUGUAAACUAUUGUCGUUAGGGAAGAUACAAGACAGUACCUAAGGAGGAAGCCCCGGCUAACUACGUGCCAGCAGCCGCGGUAAUACGUAGGGGGCAAGCGUUAUCCGGAUUUACUGGGUGUAAAGGGAGCGUAGACGGAUGGAUAAGUCUGAAGUGAAAGCCCGCGGCUCAACUGCGGGACUGCUUUGGAAACUGUGCAUCUUGAGUACGGGAGGGGCAGGCGGAAUUCCUGGUGUAGCGGUGAAAUGCGUAGAUAUCAGGAGGAACACCGGCGGCGAAGGCGGCCUGCUGGACCGAAACUGACGUUGAGGCUCGAAAGCGUGGGGAGCAAACAGGAUUAGAUACCCUGGUAC